rnacentral:lncRNA from 1 species
CUGAGCUGCUGUCCCCACGUCCUGCCGCCAUGAUGUUCUGCCUCAUCCUGGGCCCACACCCAGGGAGUCGGCCCAUCAUGGACUGGACCUCUGAAACCGGGAGCUAAAGUAAACUUUCCUUCUUCAAGUGGCCCUUGCCAGGCAUUUUGGUCACAGUGACAAAAAGCCAACACCGGGAGAGUGCUUCUUCUCCCACCUCCUGUUCUCCGCUGGCACCUGGGGGCUCUCCCUGGCACCAGAAGUUCGCACGUCCGUGGGCAGCAGGAUGCGCAGGUGAGGUGUCCCACACGUCCCAGGGCAGCCCUCCGGCUGUGGGGGACGCGAGAUGCCGAUCAAGACCUCGGCUCCUGACCUUUCAGGUGGGCGAUUCUGAGGGGUGUCCCACCUGAUCUCUUGGAGGUGCCUUGUGGGGCGAGUCCGACUGGCCACCAUGCUGUGCACCAAGGACGCUCCCUGGGUCAGCGUUCUCUCCAAGCUGAUCUUUGCCCCCCUGUCCUCUGCUCCCUGGAACUGACCCCACAUAAACCACACAACCCAGGUGCUUUUCUCAGGGUCAGCCGCGGGGCCACCCGUCUGGGAUAGACGCCUGCUCUGCUCACCCAUGGAGGGAGCCAGGGCUCUCUCCUCUUGCUCCCUGUGGACUGAGACACUUCUCAUGCCAGAAUUCCCACGUCCUGUGCAAGAUGGUGGGCGCCUCGGUCCAGUCAGGUUCGUCACCCAGCCCAGUGCCCCGGGAAGGCAGGGCGGGGUGGGGUCAGGUGUUUGCUAAAGAGUGAGGAAGCCCCCGAUUGGAGAACCGAGUCUCCGGAACCCCUCAGCUGCCACACCAAGGUGUCUGCCUAAUCCUCUCAAAGCUGAUCUUCACACAACAGAGGUCAGUGCAUGCGUGCCCCUCCCAGUCCCAGAGGCCACUCCUCUGCCCACCAGCCCCCCCCCCUUUCCCUUUGUGACAUCUUCCUUCCACAGAAGUCCUGAGUCCUCCUAGUGGGAGAUUCCAGCUCUUGUUAAAUAGCAGUUAAGGAGCCGCGGUGAAAUGCUAUUAUAAUGGGACACAACUGAGCGCCACCUCCCAGCAGAUGU